CGCCCCGCUGCCUGGCUGCUGAGAGUUGCUCCUGCCGCUGGGGGGGAAACCGAGCUCUGUGGCUCCAGGGGUGUUGUCCACCCGCCUGUAAUCAGGGUCUGGGUGCGUGAGCGUUUGUGCUCUGCUGGCAGCCUGUGUGGGGUGACCGCCCCGCUAGCGGGGUGUGGGUCGAGGUGCCCCGGACUGGGAGAGAAGGAGCCUCCCUCGGCCGUAGGGAUGGGGGCUGCCCUGUAAGUCAGGGAGCAUCUGUGUCCCGGAGUCCCAGGCCCUUUUCAAUGGCGGCAGUGGCCGGGGGUCCCCUGUAAGCAGGGAAGCUGACUCUUUGGCUGCUGCUUUUUGUGUGCCCAGCCCCAUUUGCCCAGUCUGCCCGCCUCUGUGAUCCCCCGCAGCACUGGCUGGAAGUCCGCCGCGUGUCAGUGAGGAGCUGCUGCAGAAGGAAGAAGAAGAAGCAGCGUGGGACCUGGGAGGCAGGAGCAAGCAAGAAGAGGAAGCGGAAGCGUGCAGAUGCGGGGGGGAAGGAGAGAGGCUCCCUGGGCAAAGCACCUGUCCCGUUAGCAGGGGCACAGUCACGUUUGAGUUGAGAGCUGCCGGCGCCUUUGGUGACCAGGCUGGCGUUGUGCUGGGCGACCUCCCCGUAAGCGGGGCUCGGGUCUUUGCUGUAGUUGGCCUUUUGCCUUGCUGCUCCUUUGGCUGCCUGGGGAGCGUGGCCCCCUGUAACGGAGGGCGAGAGCCACCUCUCCGCACCUGAGUGGGAAAUGGAGCUCGCCGGACCCCAAGGCCACCCUGUAAGCAGGGUAGUGCCGUUUCCCUGCCCCUCUUCCUCCCCCGGCCCCUCGGCAUCGUUGCCUGAUGGUGGCUUGUCAAUGCGACGGCCCCGUACUCGGGGUGUGCGUCACGGCAUUUGGCCGUUGGCUUUAUCUGAGAAGCCCCUUGGCACGUUGAGGUCCGUGGCCUCCGUGCAGCCUAGGGACAGGUCACAGGCUCUUGUCUGUUGCCCGUGGUUGUGGGUUUAUUCCCAGGUGUUGGCUGUGCUGCGUUGUCCUUCCCUUCUGGAAAGUUGUGCCUGUGUGUGCGUGUUCCCCUUCCUUUCCUUGUUUGUGUUUGUGGAGUGGUUGAGCGGCUGUGCUUUCCCUUUAGGCCUCCACAAAGAUGGCUGCAGCUUAGCUUUGACUUCCCAGGGGGGAAUGGAGGACUUUGGUGCAUGCCGCAAAAGGGGUGUUCCCUCUUAGUCCUGCGAGCGCAGCGAGUGUCCUGUCUUCCUACUAUUUUCCUUAGUGCAGAUCAGAGCCACACGGUAGUUCUGUGGCCAAGGCCUCCCUGUAGCCAGGGCUUGGGCCUGUCCUUGCGUGGCCGCCUGUCCUGCUGGCGGCGGUGACAGCCCCGUACUCGGGGUGUGUGUCCCAAGCUUUGGAGCCCUCUGUCCCUGAGCAGCCCGCCCGCCCUGUAAUCAGGUGUGGGGAGGCUGCAGCGUUGCAGCCGGCUGCUUUAGCCAUCCAGCUGGUGGGAGUGACCCCUCCCUGUCCCGUCAGAGGGUGCAGGUUGAGGUGCUGUUUGUGUGUGGGGUGACCUCCCCGCUCGGUGGGUCGAGGUAGCUCCCUGGGCUUCCAAAGACGAGACGUUGGUGAUGUUCUGCUGCUGCCGGGCGGGCCAGCCUGUAACUCAGGCGUUGGCGGGAGCCUCGUGCUCCGCGGGGCUUCUUGAAGAGGGUGAGGUGUGGGGGUACCGUCCUGUAGGCAGGGCUGUGUGUGCCCCCCGUGUGUGCUUGGUGAGCUGCGUUCUGAGAGACCCCCUGUACUCAGGUGGGAAUGUGGCCCCGGCCUUUCAGAGGCGCGGGGCCGUGAGAUGCGGGGUGGGGCUUGCGCCCUCCCUGGAAUCGGGGCUGGGAUCCCGACUGCGGCCUUUGGCCGUGCCGCCCCGCUGCCUGGCUGCUGAGAGUUGCUCCUGCCGCUGGGGGGGAAACCGAGCUCUGUGGCUCCAGGGGUGUUGUCCACCCGCCUGUAAUCAGGGUCUGGGUGCGUGAGCGUUUGUGCUCUGCUGGCAGCCUGUGUGGGGUGACCGCCCCGCUAGCGGGGUGUGGGUCGAGGUGCCCCGGACUGGGAGAGAAGGAGCCUCCCUCGGCCGUAGGGAUGGGGGCUGCCCUGUAAGUCAGGGAGCAUCUGUGUCCCGGAGUCCCAGGCCCUUUUCAAUGGCGGCAGUGGCCGGGGGUCCCCUGUAAGCAGGGAAGCUGACUCUUUGGCUGCUGCUUUUUGUGUGCCCAGCCCCAUUUGCCCAGUCUGCCCGCCUCUGUGAUCCCCCGCAGCACUGGCUGGAAGUCCGCCGCGUGUCAGUGAGGAGCUGCUGCAGAAGGAAGAAGAAGAAGCAGCGUGGGACCUGGGAGGCAGGAGCAAGCAAGAAGAGGAAGCGGAAGCGUGCAGAUGCGGGGGGGAAGGAGAGAGGCUCCCUGGGCAAAGCACCUGUCCCGUUAGCAGGGGCACAGUCACGUUUGAGUUGAGAGCUGCCGGCGCCUUUGGUGACCAGGCUGGCGUUGUGCUGGGCGACCUCCCCGUAAGCGGGGCUCGGGUCUUUGCUGUAGUUGGCCUUUUGCCUUGCUGCUCCUUUGGCUGCCUGGGGAGCGUGGCCCCCUGUAACGGAGGGCGAGAGCCACCUCUCCGCACCUGAGUG